CACUUGGGGUGUUCAGUGCAGGGAAAAUUGUAGCAGUGAGUGUCCAGAGUUCUGCCGUUAUGAUGAUGGACUUUGUACUAAAUAUUGUCUCGGUUACAGUGACCCACCAAAAUGUGAAACAGAAUGUAGUUUUGGAACAUGGGGUAUAAACUGUUCCAAUCAAUGCAGCAAUAGAUGCUUCAAUCAAUCUUGCGACAGAAUAACUGGGAAAUGCAAUCAAUGCCUUGGCUUCAAAGUUACAUCAGAUUGUACAAUUGAAUGUGACUCUGGUUCAUGGGGUAUAAAUUGUGCCUCUAACUGUAGCAAAUGCUUUAACUCUACCUGCAACAGUCCAACUGGCUUGUGUGAUCAAGGAUGUUUAGGUUACAGAGACCCACCUGACUGUU
rnacentral:sRNA from 1 species